CGUUACUCCCUCGGCCGCCCACCAACCUCUCUCGUCGAGCUCAUCGCAAGCACCACCAGAUCACCUGGCCAGCCGCCGCGUCACUCCGUCCUCCGCUUCCAAUGGAUGCUGCCGUCGCGUUCGCUUCCGCUCGGAACCCUAGCCCCACGCGCUUCUCCUCGUCCUACGCUUCGCCGUCCUCGCGCGUCCCCCAGCGCUUCUGUGUCUGCCGCCCAUGGCGCGGGCGCGAGCGCGAGCGCCGGCUCCGCGCGCUCCGGCCUCAAUCCCAGGUCCGGCCCCCCGGGGCCACGUCCGCCGACGCCUCCCACCACGAUGUGGUGGUCGUGGGGGCCGGAAUCGUCGGACUCACGAUCGCGCGCCAUCUCCUCCUCCACACUCCGCUCUCCGUCGCCGUCGUUGACGCCGCAGUCCCCUGCUCCGGCGCCACCGGCGCAGGGCAGGGAUACAUAUGGAUGUCGCACCGGACGCCCGGCAGUGACAUGUGGGAGCUGGCGGCGCGGAGCAAGCAGCUGUGGGAGGAGCUCGCGGCCGAGGUUGACGGCCAGGGCGGCGGCGGUGCGCGGGAGAAGCUGGGCUGGAUGAGGACAGGAAGCUUGCUAGUUGGCAGAACUUCGGAAGAACUAGCCACAUUGGAGGAAAGGACCAAGGUUCUGUCCGAGGCAGGCAUACAUGCGGAAUUCUUGUCUGCCUCUUCACUACAUGCAUUAGAACCAGCACUCAGUGUUGGGAAAGAUGGUGGUGCUAUGUUCUUGCCUCAAGACUGCCAGAUUGAUGCGUUCCAGGCUGUCUCUUUGAUUGAAAAGACCAAUAACUCAUAUUCCUCAGAAGGAAGGUAUAUGGAGAUCUAUAAUGAUCCUGCCAUGUCAUUAGUAAGAUCGGAGGUUACUGGAACAGUAGAAGCUGUCCAAACUUCCAGAAACACAUUGUAUGGCAGAAAAGCUAUUGUAAUUGCUUCUGGUGCCUGGACUCGAUCCUUAUUGCAUAGUUUUCUAGAACCAGCUUUGACAUUGGAUAUUCCUGUCAAGCCACGAAAGGGUCAUCUUCUUGUGGUGGAGAAUUUUGACAAGGUUAAGCUAAAUCAUGCCCUAAUGGAUGUAGGAUAUGUUGACCAUCAGGUUGCUAAGUCAAAUCACACACACAUGGCUUCAAAGUCUAGCGAAGAUGAGCACGGUGCUUUAUCUAUAUCAAUGACCGCAACCGUAGAUGCAAAGGGAAAUUUGGUUCUAGGAAGCAGCCGGGAGUUCAAAGGGUUUUCAAGGGAGGUUGAUAAAUAUGUUGUUAAGUGUAUAUGGGAACGUGCAGGAGAGUUCUUUCCUGCAUUGAAGAAUGUUCCUCUUGAUAUUGAUCACAAUACACAGAUCAGAAUCGGGCAUCGCCCAUACAUGCCUGAUGGAAAGCCAGUUAUUGGCUUUAUUCCUGAUCUGCCAAAUGUUUUGAUUGCAACAGGACAUGAAGGAAAUGGGCUUACUAUGGUGAUUCACUGUUCACUGUAUCAUUGUGCUCCAGUUACUAGUGUUUUUGUGUUGGAAUAUUUUUUAUUCUUCUAUUUAGUUGGGCAGUGAAAUAUGAAAGGCACUAGGCACUGCUGAAAUGGUCACUGAUAUGAUUCUUGGGAAUCCUGGAAAAGUGGACUGCUCACCUUUCUCCAUCAAACACAGAUUUUCAGGUUGACCGUUUAUCCGGAAGCCCUCCUUCAGCUCUUCUAGUGACAAAUUACCGUCAUUGUCCUUGUCCAUCGUAUUGAACAUCUGAGUGUAUUUGUCAAUCUCUUCCACCGGUAGAUUCAUAGCGACGACCUCCAUUCAUAAUUAGAAAAUGCUUCACAUUUAGUGUGUCGCACUUGAAGGAAAUAAGGGUACAAACAGCAAGUUAUCUGCAGCUUACUCCAAGUGCCUUCUUCUUGAACUUGUUCAUGGAUGAGAACUGCUUCAGCCUGGACCGAACAACCUCCCCAAGUGACACAUUUGAAGCCUUAUCAGCAUUUUUGAGCCAAGGAUGCUCUGUAUUUUUAGGAGGGAAACGUGAGUCAUAGUUCAGUAUGCAGCAUUGUUGGGCCGUCCUUUCCAAUAAUACCAAUAACAAACCAGAAGUUACCAAACUCUUAGCAUGGCUUUCCAUGAAUAGAAUGCCAUCAGCUCUUUCCAUUCA